GUGGAUUAGAUACCCUGGUAGUCCACGCCGUAAACGAUGAUAACUAGCUGUCCGGGCACAUGGUGCUUGGGUGGCGCAGCUAACGCAUUAAGUUAUCCGCCUGGGGAGUACGGUCGCAAGAUUAAAACUCAAAGGAAUUGACGGGGGCCUGCACAAGCGGUGGAGCAUGUGGUUUAAUUCGAAGCAACGCGCAGAACCUUACCAGCCUUUGACAUCCCGGUCGCGAUUACCAGAGAUGGUUUUCUUCAGUUCGGCUGGACCGGUGACAGGUGCUGCAUGGCCGUCGUCAACU
rnacentral:rRNA from 1 species